rnacentral:rRNA from 1 species
CCUGCCGGACCUGACUGCUAUCGGAUUGAUACUAACCCAUGCGAGUCUUUGUAGUAAUACAAGGCAGACGGCUCAGUAACACGUAGUCAACCUACCCUAUGGACAAGAAUAAUCUCGGGAAACUGGGCAUAAUUCUUGAUAGAUCAUAAUGCCUGGAAUGGUUUAUGGUUAAAAUGAUUCGUCGCCAUAGGAUGGGACUGCGGCCUAUCAGCUUGUUGGUGAGGUAAUGGCCCACCAAGGCGAUUACAGGUACGGGCUCUGAGAGGAGAAGCCCGGAGAUGGGUACUGAGACACGGACCCAGGCCCUAUGGGGCGCAGCAGGCGAGAAAACUUUGCAAUGUGCGAAAGCACGACAAGGUUAAUCCGAGUGAUUUCUGCUAAAGAAAUCUUUUGCCAGUCAUAAAACCACUGGUGAAUAAGGGGUGGGCAAGUUCUGGUGUCAGCCGCCGCGGUAAAACCAGCACCUCAAGUGGUCAGGAUGAUUAUUGGGCCUAAAGCAUCCGUAGCCGGCUUUGUUAGUUUUCGGUUAAAUCCAUGUGCUCAACGCAUGGGCUGCCGAAAAUACUGCAUAGCUAGGGAGUGGGAGAGGUAGACGGUACUCAGUAGGAAGGGGUAAAAUCCUUUGAUCUAUUGAUGACCACCUGUGGCGAAGGCGGUCUACCAGAACACGUUCGACGGUGAGGGAUGAAAGCUGGGGGAGCAAACCGGAUUAGAUACCCGGGUAGUCCCAGCUGUAAACGAUGCAGACUCGAUGAUGCAUUGGCAUAAUAGCCAAUGCAGUGUCGCAGGGAAGCCGUUAAGUCUGCCGCCUGGGAAGUACGUACGCAAGUAUGAAACUUAAAGGAAUUGGCGGGGGAGCACCACAAGGGGUGAAGCCUGCGGUUCAAU